rnacentral:lncRNA from 9 species
CGUUGCAGGCGGGAGCAGACGCUGUCCGAGAGGCUGGGCGGUGUCAGGGGGCCAUCUGUGCCCUCUCCACUGGGCCUCCUGCAGGUCCUGCGGCCCUGAACUGCCUGGGGUUAGGGAGGAGCAGGCCUCGCUGCCACCAGGAACGAGGUGUCUGUCGUGAAAGAAAGUUGGUCUCACGAGCGUGGUGAAUCCAUCAGCAGCCCCGGAGACCCCGGGCCUCCAGCUGAAGAGCGUUGUUGGUUCCUCACUGGAUGGAAGGAGCGCCUGAGGGCCCAACCGGCCCCAGUCAUCUCUCAAAGAUUUCUCUGUCACAGAAUAUCCCUUAAUGAAGACCAGGAGAUGGGCCCCAACACCUUUGUCCUACGCUGCCUGCAGUGGACACAGUUGUCGAGAGGACCUUCUACUUGGCCUCUCCACGGGGAGGUAUCUGGAAAAUGAAGCUGCAUUUGAGGCACAUUACAGAUGAGGAAUGAUCCGUAUGCAGCUGGAACAAGGAUGUAUUUGUGAGCAGCACAAAGGGUCACAAGUAGACUGGAAACUACCAGACUUGGAGAAAGAGGAUCUGAGUUCAAAUUGUAACUUCACGACAUACUAACACUAUGACUUUAACAAGUGAUUUCAGUUCUUCAUUUCCUAAACAGGUAGGAUAAUACUUAUAUCAUGUGGUUGUUAUGAAAAUCAAGUAAGAUUAAAUAUGUACAUUCAAACAGUUCAGUGCCUGAAGCAUAAUGAUGCUCUCACUAAAACUGGUUGAAUUAGAAAUAAUCACUUUGCAGACUACAUAUCCACAUACCAAUGAUGUUUCAAGUUCACAGCUAUUUGCACAUUUAAAUUCAGAGUGGUGUCUAAUGAAACUUGGGAAUUCAACAUGUAGGGAGAAUUGAAGGCAGCCUCGUAGUUGCUAGUGUGAGAAAUUGUCGUAGGCUGGCUUCCUCAGAACACGGACUCCUAGUAAGGAGUUGUAGGAAUGGCACCCAACAAGGGCUGAGGGAGGUUGGACUGGAUAAGAAGAAACGUUGACUUGUGAUGCAGUAAUAAUCAAAUGUCUGCCUAGGAGCUAGGGAGUUGAGCUGGCUCUUAGGGAUGUUCUGAAUUGUGGCAAGGGAGGCAGGCCUGACUUUAGCCUGAUAGUGCCCUUAUAGGGCAAUUUCUGGAGAGAGAUUUAAGUGAGAUGCUUAACCAGACAACCCUCACUGCAGCUGAGGAAAGGGGGGAAGCUGGUACGGAGGGCUUCAGCUCUAAAUUGAGGGAUCUGAGUAAUUUAUCAUAGGAUCCACCUUUAAAAGUAAACCUGAAGGAGUUCCCUUGUGGUGCAGCGGGUUAAGGACCUAAGGAUUGGCAUUGUCAGUUCAGCGAUGUGGCUUCGAUCCCUCUCUAGCUUUUUAUAAUUCCUUGAAUAUGAAUUCAGUGAAUAUGUCUAAAUGAAUACGCCACUUCUCUUCCCAGUCUCCUUAGAAAGAAACGUAAUGGAGUCUUGGCAGUCACUCAGGGACAUUGGGCCAGGGAGGGAAAUAUUCCGAUCAGCUUCAUCCCCAUCCCCACCCCUGUCUCUAUAAGUCAGCCUGGCCUGAAAUGCCUGUGCUUCUCUAAGGCAGGUGCUGAGAAUAAAUUCACCCGUUAUCCUUCAGUUUUCCUGAAGAAGCCUUGGUACUAAUAGUCCCAGUAUGCUGUUACUGUUUCUUCCUCCUCUUGUUUUUUUAAAAUCUUCCUCUUUUACCUGACCCAUUUUUCAUGGGCUAUUUUCUCUACCAAUUGAGCUAGUUUUAAUUAAAGCUGAUAAUUCUGGGGUGCCUUCCACAUGCUCCCUGAUGAGCGUGAUAUAAAUGGACACAAUAAACAGACCAUCUAAUAUUGAUAGAGUCUACAGCUGCAUCUGCUAAUUAGGGCCAAUAAAGGCUUUGGGGGCAAGAGUUCCCAUGUGACAUUUGUUUAAUUAAAGCCUUUGUCGGCCCUACUCAGAAGGGUGAAAAAUAUUCCACUUAAAAUGUACUGAAAACAAACAUAGCCUUUAGAAUGCAGAACAUUCCAUACUAGUCUCUCCUGGGCUCCCAGAAAGAAACUUUUAGGUCAAAAUAAUAUUUUUUCUUGAUAAUACAUACUGAUUUUAAUUAAACCAGAUAAUUUAUUCUGUUUCCCAGUCCACAUGUAUACAUAGAAGUAGGUCUGGCCAAGAAGCUCUAAGGGGGGAAUAAAUUCAGAGUCAAGCUGGAAAGGAGUGGGGUAGGAAUCAUGGGGUCUUUGGGCAAAUUGAAUGUCUCAUAUAUCAUUCAAUACAUGAUAAGCUGGCUUUGAUCAACUAUGUAAAUGUUUGUACUCAGAGUUCCCAUUGUGGCUUUGCAGUAAGGAACCCAACUAGGAUCCAUGAGGACUCGAGUUUGAUCCCUGGCCUCAUUCAGUGG